rnacentral:lncRNA from 1 species
CAAACUUCAAUUCAUCGUAUUAUAAAAACGUAAAUGUAUGGCUUGGAUGGAAUGUAGUCACAUUGACACUCAUACCACAUCUUCUUAUAUCGAUGUGUAGGGUACUUUUGAUAAGGCCUUCAAACAUUAACUUAAACUACCGGUUAACCGGUUAAUCGGUCGAACGAUUAUACGAGUAACCGGUUAGGCAAAAGUGUACGAUUUGACAACACUAUAGUUUAU